rnacentral:lncRNA from 1 species
AAAAGCCAUGGAUGAAUUCACGGCCGGUGUUGGCUGAUUCCCUAGAUCUUGGAGACGAGAGGAAGUGACGAAGAAGUGCAGCUCCCUCCAACCCAUGCGCGCCCACCUAACAAGCCAACCGACCUGCUGCUGGAAGUGCUCUUUUCACCGACAGCUGCCACGCCAAGCCACCGCAAAAGACAGGUGAAGCCUCGAAAGAGUAAGCAACUCGCCUUCCCCAGUUGUUCACUUCGCCGAUGUUGAUGCGUUGCCCGUCUCUCUGACUGGGUAGCCUUGCAGGUGAAGGGUUUGCAGUUCGCAAAAGAGACUACUCAUUCACACCGGAGAUUGAGCAAUCACAAGCUGAUCCAUCAGACGUCAUAUGCACAGGUCAAGAAAAGGCACACAUUCUGUAGAUCGUACUCAACAAUCUUAAAGCCCUUUCCCCCUCUUCUUAGGAGAGGAAGAAUCUCUCUUCAGAUAGGCACAGACAGUUAAUAUUGUUCUAGGGGAAACAUCAGCUUCCAUUUUAGAUGAUUAUGUCUGAUAGGACACUUGCAAGAAUGCGUCAGUUUCUAGGAUAAUGACUGAUGAAGGCUUUUGUAAGCAGUUAUCGGAUCUGCCUGUAAUGCAGAAGCUGUAUGUACAAUGUUCC